AUGACUUUCAUCACCAUCUUCAUCUGGACAUUGACUCUCUGUUUUUGUGGGUCCAGAGGACAGGUGACUGUGACUCAGACUCCUGAAGUGAAAUCUGCUCUUCCAGGAGACACAGUUAUUGUUAACUGUAAAACCAGUCCUGCAGUUCAUGGUGGCACCUAUCUGUUCUGGUACCAACACAAACCUGGACAGGCUCCUAAACUCCUCAUUAAAUAUGCUAACCAGUUACAGUCAGGAAUUCCAAAUCGUUUCAGUGGCAGUGGAUCUGGGACUGACUUCACUCUGACCAUCAGCAGAGCCCAGACUGAAGAUGCAGGUGAUUAUUACUGUCAGAGUCAACAUCUUAUAAGUGGCAACUGGGUGUUCACACAGUGA